rnacentral:tmRNA from 1 species
GAGAUUCUCGCCAAGUUCGGUUAUGUUGAAGAGGAGACUCUCCAACUGGCGGCAUAAGUCCCGUCACGUCCUACUCUGGAUGCUCGUUAAGGAGCUAGGGCGUCGAUAGCGAGCAAAAAACUGGGCAACGCCGAAGAGGCUCAGUAUAAUCCAACUUUUUGGCAGCCUGCGAGGCCGUUUGUCGGUGACAUGCUGAAGCAGGUAUAUAACAUCGACUAAGCUUGUAGUAUAUUUGAGCCGAUGGCUUUAAAGACGCGGGUUCGACUCCCGCCGCUUCCACCA